rnacentral:tRNA from 1 species
GCCCAGCUAGCUCAGUCGGUAGAGGAUGAGACUCUUAAUCUCAGGGUCAUGGGUUGGAGCCCCACGUUGGGAG